GUUGGUGAAUGAUAUCAGAUUUUAGCUACAGGUCUGUGAUGUUGAAUGAUAUUAUAUUUUAGCUACUGGUCUGUGUUGGUGAAUGAUAUCAGAUUUUAGCUACAGGUCUGUGAUGUUGAAUGAUAUUAUAUUUUAGCUACAGGUCUGUGUUGGUGAAUGAUAUCAGAUUUUAGCUACAGGUCUGUGAUGUUGAAUGAUAUUAUAUUUUAGCUACAGGUCUGUGUUGGUGAAUGAUAUCAGAUUUUAGCUACAGGUCUGUGAUUGGUGAAUGAUAUUAUAUUUUAGCUACAAUUCUGUGUUGGUGAAUGAUAUUAUAUUUUAGCUACAGGUCUGUGAUGUUGAAUGAUAUUAUAUUUUAGCUACAAUUCUGUGUUGGUGAAUGAUAUUAUAUUUUAGCUACAGGUCUGUGAUGUUGAAUGAUAUUAUAUUUUAGCUACAGGUCUGUGUGGUUGAAUGAUAUUAUAUUUUAGCUACUGGUCUGUGUUGGUGAAUGAUAUUAUAUUUUAGCUACAGGUCUGUUGGUGAAUGAUAUUAUAUUUUAGCUACAGGUCUGUGUUGGUGAAUGAUAUUAUAUUUUAGCUACAGGUCUGUGUUGGUGAAUGAUAUUAUAUUUUAGCUACAGGUCUGUGUUGGUGAAUGAUAUUAUAUUUUAGCUACAGGUCUGUGUUGGUGAAUGAUAUUAUAUUUUAGCUACAGGUCUGUGUUGGUGAAUGAUAUUAUAUUUUAGCUACAGGUCUGUGAUGUUGAAUGAUAUUAUAUUUUAGCUACAAGGUCUGUGUUGGUGAAUGAUAUUAUAUUUUAGCUACAGGUCUGUGAUGUUGAAUGAUAUUAUAUUUUAGCUACAGGUCUGUGAUGUUGAAUGAUAUUAUAUUUUAGCUACAGGUCUGUGAUGUUGAAUGAUAUUAUAUUUUAGCUACAGGUCUGUGAUGUUGAAUGAUAUUAUAUUUUAGCUACAGGUCUGUGUUGGUGAAUGAUAUUAUAUUUUAGCUACAGGUCUGUGAUGUUGAAUGAUAUUAUAUUUUAGCUACAGGUCUGUGUUGGUGAAUGAUAUUAUAUUUUAGCUACAGGUCUGUUGGUGAAUGAUAUUAGAUUUUAGCUAUAGGUCUGUGUUGGUGAAUGAUAUUAUAUUUUAGCUACAGGUCUGUUGGUGAAUGAUAUUAUAUUUUAGCUAUAGGCCUGUGUUGGUGAAUGAUAUUAUAUUUUAGCUACAGGUCUAUACAGUUUAUAGAUAUUUACAGGGUUUUAUGUAGUUGUCUUUAUAGAAAAUAGCUUUUGUUUAUAAGUAAUGUGUAUUAUUGUAUUUUGUUUGUUCCUUAUCUGUAGGGUAGUUAUCUAAGCUUGCUUUGCUGUGCAUUGGAUUGCUUGUGUAGUUAAAUAGGAAAUUCACAUUGGUGAAAAACACACAGGUGUUAGUUUGGUCAAUUUCCUUAAUUUUUGAAAAAAUAACCAUGAAGCACAGACACUGUUGGUAUAGUGUCCAGACAUGGACAACCCAUUCUAGACUUGUCCAUUACUCCAGUUGUAGACUUGUCCAUUACUCCAGUUGUAGACUUGUCCAUUACUCCAGUUGUAGACUUGUCCAUUACUCCAGUUGUAGACUUGUCCAUUACUCCAGUAAAAUAGAGGGAAAUGAAUUUAGUGGUGCUAAGGAGCUAUAGUACUAGUGUCCUUUUUUAAAGCACCUUAGAAGGAUGUUUCUACAAACCGAUGGAGCACUAAAUACAAAAUGUAUUUAUCUUCAUUAUUAUUGUUCAUCAUACCUAUGUAUAGACUUUUGGUAUGAUUUAUGGUAGAUCCAGAAAAUGUUGAUAGAUAUAUGCAAAAGGUUUUAAAUCUACAUUGGUAGCUGUAGUUAAUUCAGAGCCCAGGGGAAAUGGGUUUAUAAAUCUAAAGGGUAGUAUGGUAUAUUGUUGUACACAAUGCUCUCAAACCCACAUAUCUGGACCUGCUAUUGAUGUCAGUAGAUAUUGUAUGACAAGUGUUGAACUAAAUCUUGGAUUAUGUUUGUGAUGUCUUCUGUGAAUCCGUUGGUUAAUGUUUCAUCUGUGUGUAGAGUGCCAUCACUUAUUAACACUAAUUCAAGAGUGCUGCUAUGGUUAUAAUGACUCUAUGUCAUAGGGUGCUGCUAUGGUGACAUAGACUCUAGGGUACUGCUGUGGUGACAUAGACUCUAGGGUACUGCUAUGGUGACAUAGACUCUAGGGUACUGCUAUGGUGACAUAGACUCGGUACUGAUAUGGUGACAUAGACUCUAGGGUACUGCUAUGGUGACAUAGACUCUAGGGUACUGCUGUGGUGACAUAGACUCUAGGGUACUGCUGUGGUUAUAAUGACUCUAGGGUACUGCUAUGGUGACAUAGACUCUAGGGUACUGCUAUGGUGACAUAGACUCUAGGGUACUGCUAUGGUGACAUAGACUCUAGGGUGCUGCUAUGGUGACAUAGACUCUAGGGUACUGCUAUGGUGACAUAGACUCUAGGGUACUGCUAUGGUGACAUAGACUCUAGGGUACUGCUGUGGUGACAUAAACUCUAGGGUACUGCUAUGGUUAUAAUGACUCUAGGGUACUGCUAUGGUGACAUAGACUCUAGGGUACUGCUAUGGUGACAUAAACUCUAGGGUACUGCUAUGGUUAUAAUGACUCUAGGGUACUGCUAUGGUGACAUAAACUCUAGGGUACUGCUAUGGUGACAUAGACUCUAGGGUACUGCUAUGGUGACAUAGACUCUAGGGUACUGCUAUGGUGACAUAAACUCUAGGGUACUGCUAUGGUUAUAAUGACUCUAGGGUACUGCUAUGGUGACAUAGACUCUAGGGUACUGCUAUGGUGACAUAGACUCUAGGGUACUGCUAUGGUGACACAGACUCUAGGGUACUGCUAUGGUGACAUAGACUCUAGGGUACUGCUAUGGUGACAUAGACUCUAGGGUACUGCUAUGGUGACAUAGACUCUAGGGUACUGCUGUGGUGACAUAGACUCUAGGGUAUUGCUGUGGUGACACAGACUCUAGGGUGCUGCUAUGGUGACAUGGACUCUAGGGUACUGCUAUGGUGACAUGGACUCUAGGGUACUGCUAUGGUGACAUAGACUCAAGGGUACUGCUAUGGUGACAUAGACUCUAGGGUACUGCUGUGGUGACAUAGACUCUAGGGUACUGCUAUGGUGACAUAGACUCGGUACUGCUAUGGUGACAUAGACUCGGUACUGCUAUGGUGACAUAGACUCUAGGGUACUGCUAUGGUGACAUAGACUCUAGGGUACUGCCAUAGUGACAUAGACUCUAGGGUACUGCCAUAGUGACAUAGACUCUAGGGUGCUGCUGUGGUGACACAGACUCUAGGGUGCUGCCAUAGUGACAUAGACUCUAGGGUACUGCCAUAGUGACAUAGACUCUAGGGUGCUGCUGUGGUGACACAGACUCUAGGGUACUGCCAUAGUGACAUAGACUCUAGGGUGCUGCUAUGGUGACACAGACUCUAGGGUACUGCCAUAGUGACAUAGACUCUAGGGUACUGCCAUAGUGACAUAGACUCUAGGGUGCUGCUAUGGUGACACAGACUCUAGGGUGCUGCUAUGGUGACACAGACUCUAGGGUACUGCCAUAGUGACAUAGACUCUAGGGUGCUGCCAUAGUGACAUAGACUCUAGGGUGCUGGUAUGGUGACAUAGACUCUAGGGUACUGCUAUGGUGACAUAAACUCUAGGGUACUACCAUAGUGACAUGGACUCUAGGGUACUGCUAUGGUGACAUGGACUCUAGGGUACUGCUAUGGUGACAUAGACUCUAGGGUACUGCUAUGGUGACAUAGACUCUAGGGUGCUGCCAUAGUGACAUAGACUCUAGGGUACUGCUAUGGUGACAUAGACUCUAGGGUACUGCUAUGGUAACAUAGACUCUAGGGUGCUGGUAUGGUGACAUAGACUGUAGGGUACUGCUGUGGUGUCAUAGACUCUAGGGUACUGCUAUGGUGACAUAGACUCUAGGGUACUGCUAUGGUGACAUAGACUCUAGGGUACUGCUAUGGUGACAUAGACUCUAGGGUACUGCUAUGGUGACAUAGACUCUAGGGUACUGCUGUGGUGACAUAGACUCUAGGGUACUGCUAUGGUGACAUAGACUCUAGGGUACUGCUAUGGUGACAUAGACUCUAGGGUACUGCUAUGGUGACAUAUACUCGGUACUGCUAUGGUGACAUAGACUCUAGGGUACUGCUAUGGUGACAUAGACUCUAGGGUACUGCCAUAGUGACAUAGACUCUAGGGUACUGCCAUAGUGACAUAGACUCUAGGGUACUGCCAUAGUGACAUAGACUCUAAGUUACUGGUAUGGUGACAUAGACUCUAGGGUGCUGCCAUAGUGACACAGACUCUAGGGUGCUGCCAUAGUGACACAGACUCUAGGGUGCUGGUAUGGUGACAUAGACUCUAGGGUACUGCCAUAGUGACAUAGACUCUAGGGUGCUGGUAUGGUGACAUGGACUCUAGGGUACUGCUGUGGUGACACAGACUCUAGGGUGCUGCUAUGGUGACAUGGACUCUAGGGUGCUGCCAUAGUGACAUAGACUCUAGGGUGCUGCUAUGGUGACACAGACUCUAGGGUGCUGCUAUGGUGACACAGACUCUAGGGUGCUGCUAUGGUGACACAGACUCUAGGGUACUGCCAUAGUGACACAGACUCUAGGGUGCUGCUAUGGUGACACAGACUCUAGGGUGCUGCCAUAGUGACAUAGACUCUAGGGUACUGCUGUGGUGACAUAGACUCUAGGGUACUGCUAUGGUGACAUAGACUCUAGGGUACUGCUAUGGUGACAUAGACUCUAGGGUGCUGCCAUAGUGACAUAGACUCUAGGGUACUGCUAUGGUGACAUAGACUCUAGGGUACUGCUAUGGUAACAUAGACUCUAGGGUGCUGGUAUGGUGACAUAGACUGUAGGGUACUGCUGUGGUGUCAUAGACCUUGUGACUGGUGUGACUAGUUCUGGUGAUGUAUCCUUGUGACUGGUGUGACUAGUUCUGAUGAUGUACCCUUGUGACAGGUGAGACUAGUUCUGGUGAUGUACCCUUGUGACAGGUGUGACUAGUUCUGGUGAUGUACCGUUGUGACUGGUGUGACUAGUUCUGGUGAUGUAUCCUUGUGACAGGUGUGACUAGUUCUGGUGAUGUAUCAUUGUGACUGGUGUGACUAGUUCUGGUGAUGUAUCCUUGUGACUGGUGUGACUAGUUCUGGUGAUGUAUCCUUGUGACUGGUGUGACUAGUUCUGGUGAUGUAUCCUUGUGACUGGUGUGACUAGUUCUGGUGAUGUACCCUUGUGACUGGUGUGACUAGUUCUGGUGAUGUACCCUUGUGACUGGUGUGACUAGUUCUGGUGAUGUAUCCUUGUGACUGGUGUGACUAGUUCUGGUGAUGUACCCUUGUGACUGGUGUGGCUAGUUCUGGUGAUGUAUCCUUGUGACUGGUGUGGCUAGUUCUGGUGAUGUACCCUUGUGACUGGUGUGGCUAGUUCUGGUGAUGUACCCUUGUGACUGGUGUGACUAGUUCUGGUGAUGUAUCCUUGUGACUGGUGUGACUAGUUCUGGUGAUGUACCCUUGUGACUGGUGUGACUAGUUCUGGUGAUGUACCCUUGUGACUGGUGUGGCUAGUUCUGGUGAUGUACCCUUGUGACUGGUGUGGCUAGUUCUGGUGAUAUACCCUUGUGACUAGUGUGACUAGUUCUGAUGAUGUACCCUUGUGACUGGUGUGACUAGUUCUGGUGAUGUAUACAUGUACCAGAUAUCUGUGUUGUGAUGUACCCAAUGAAGCUUUUUGUGUAUGUAGUUCCUCAGUUUAAAUGUUUUAUAAUUAGUAUUCCUAGUCAUCCUUUACUAACAGUCUUUAUCUGAUGUGGAUAACAAUGUAUUACAAUAACAACAUCUAUUGAUGCAAAUAUUGGGAGAUUGGUUAGAUCCUAAUGGAGUCGUUGUCUAGAAAGCAGGCCUUCAUAUUUAGUGUAAUUCUUCCUCUUGUCUUGGAAAAUCGUGGAGCAAAGCCUGGUACAGCUUCUGGAAGAACUGAAUCUUAAUUUUCCUAAGUUCAUAUUUUCAAAUACCGAGACAUAUUUUAGUGGUUAUCUUAUUUGUGCUGGAAAUAUUCUGUGCCAAUUCAUUGUGCAAAUCUGUUUUGAUUUGAAAAGAAAAGGGAAAAGGAAAUUAUCAAUAUUUUUUUUUCUUUAUGAUUUUGUUCUAGAUAUAGUGUAAUGCUUUAAAAUAGUGUUGAAUGUAAUGUCCAGUGUUAAAGUUGUAGUUAUAAUUCCUAUCUAUUCUAAUUUUUGAACAAAUUUUGUAUUAUUCAAUCAAAUCUGUUAAUGUUGUUAAAGAAACUUUGCCUUAGACAUUUUCGAAAACCGUGUUCAAUUAUCUGCCAAUAAAUAUUGUAGCAAAUAUAUUGAAUAUUAAUGAAAAAAAAAAAAAAAAAAUUAUCAUUUAAAUUGAAUUUGAAG